CGGACACGCGUCAUUUGCCUAUGCAUGUGUAGAGGACGAUGGUCUUCCUCUACAUGAGCCCCGACCGGCGAUGAUGGUAUGCCACGGAGAGCCGAUGACUGUGGCCUGUCUCCAUGGCCGCGCCGGUGGAACUGAGGCAGGUGCUCCAGGCGCGUGGCCAUCUUCGUCGCUGUCCACCGGCCGCUACAUCACUCCCCCCCUCAGACGCGGAGCGGCGCUUGCGCGUCGAUACUAAGGCGGGAGGAAUGGCGACGGCACGUGGACGUGGGAAACUGAGGCUUGAGAAUUGAGAAAGUACGGCUUGAGUUCGCGGCAGCAGGCGCGGCAGGAUAGCGGGCGUGGACAUUCGUUGCAGAACGUUGUUGCGGACGGUCGAUUUAGUGCGUUGUGCCGUCGUGCUGCUGCGCCAGUGAUCAGCUUGCGUCGUGUCAAGUGGAAGCAGGGCGAUGGGGGCAGCGUGAGACAUUUCCGCGAGCGACCUCCGGAAAGCGUUGCCGAGCUGACGCAUGUGCGGCGUCAGGGCGUAAGAACAGCGACGUACCGAUACCAGUAGUGGAGCGUGUUGCUCAUUGAACAGUCGCUGGUGAUGCCGGGGUGUGCCAUCGCGAAGUACGUGGCGGCCUGAAGAAGAGUGCGGACCACGGCGUACCGCGACCGGUACGGGGCGUUGAAGUCGAAGAGUGCCGGGUCAGAAGUGAGCGUAGCCUCCGAUUACGAGCCCCGGCGGAGAGACGUGCUCGGUGACUCACGAUAGGUGGGCCCUAGCGCCAUCGUCUGCUGUCUUGAGCAGAGGACGAUGGUCUUCCUCUACAUGAGCCCCGACCGGCGAUGAUGGUAUGCCACGGAGAGGCGAUGACUGUGGCCUGUCUCCAUGGCCGCGCCGGUGGAACUGAGGCAGGUGCUCCAGGCGCGUGGCCAUCUUCGUCGCUGUCCACCGGCCGCUACACAUGUUACCAAAUCUGCCGGAGACACCUCGGCCUGCUAGGAUGGCAGAGCAAGACUUCAAGAAUCAGCUAUUGAUGAAAGUCAAUCAAGCUUGUCCGAGCUACAUAAUAAAUAUGCUGUCUUUCUACUGCAAAACUGUCUUCUCCCAAUUUGCUAUUAUUUACAUAGAGCUACAGCUACACCGAGCUACAUAAUAAAUAUACUAUGCGACCGGUCUCGAAGACAUAACAUCGUUCUUCGGAAGUCGGUAUAUGUAACACGUGAAAU